UACGUAGGGGGCAAGCGUUGUCCGGAUUUAUUGGGCGUAAAGAGCGUGUAGGCGGCCAUACAGGUCCGUUGUGAAAACUGGAGGCUUAACCUUCAGACGUCGACGGAAACCGUAUGGCUAGAGUCCGGAAGAGGAGAGUGGAAUUCCUGGUGUAGCGGUGAAAUGCGCAGAUAUCAGGAAGAACACCAAUGGCGAAGGCAGCUCUCUGGGACGGUACUGACGCUGAGACGCGAAAGCGUGGGGAGCGAACAGG
rnacentral:rRNA from 1 species